CACCUCUCAGGGUUUUACCUGGAGAGUUUCCAGUACUCUACUAGUCUCAGCUACGUGAGGGAGAGUCAAGCAGAGGCCUACCCAUUCCACUCCUAACUUGGACAGUGGCUAGUGAGUGGAAGGCAAUCUGCCACAAGU